AAAAAGGCCUCUAGUAACACAACGACGCAACACCUUCCCUAGCCGCUUAAGUGCUUAACUGACGCUUCGCAUUAAUUAUCGACUCGACUCACUCGAGAAUGCGAGAAUCUCGACUCGAGCAGACAGGAAGAAUGGCUUCCUCCACCUCCGGGAGAAGAGGACGAGGACGACUCCUCUCGCCUGCGGCGGUUGUGCUGGCGGCCGUGGCUGUGCUGCUGUCGGCGUCACAGGCACUGGCGGCGCCGUGCUACCCGCGCGUGUUCAGCUUCGGGGACUCGCUAGCUGACACGGGCAACGGCCCUUUCCUCUACGGCAACGAGUCCCGCCGGCCACCGCUGUGGCCACCCUACGGCGAGACCUUCUUCCACCGCGCCACCGGCCGGGCCUCCAACGGCCGCCUCAUCAUCGACUUCAUCGCUGACGCGCUGGGGCUGCCGUUCCUGCGGCCGUACUGGGGCGGGCGGACCACGGGGGACUUCGCCAGCGGGGCCAACUUCGCGGUGGGCGGCGCCACGGCGCUCAGCCCGGACUUCUUCUGGGAGAGAGGCGUGCACGUGCGCGACACCGUGCACCUCGACAUGGAGAUGAACUGGUUCCGCGAUCUGCUCGGCCUGCUCUGCCCAGACGAUCUUGCCGAUUGCAACGACAUGAUGAAUCAAUCUCUCUUCUUAGUCGGAGAAAUUGGUGGCAAUGAUUACAACCAUCCUCUUAUGGGCGGGGUAUCCAUUAGAAAGAUUCGCAGCUUCACUCCGAGUAUCAUUGCCAAAAUUUCUUCCACAAUCACUGAAUUGAUCGGGCUCGGAGCCAAGACGUUAGUUGUUCCUGGUAAUCUCCCAAUUGGAUGUAUUCCACAUUAUCUCAUGAUAUUCAAGAGUGGUAAGAAGGAAGAUUAUGAGCCAGAGACAGGUUGCCUCAGGUGGAUGAACUAGUUCUCGCAAUACCACAACAGACUUCUUAUGGAUGAACUAGAAAAUUUACGGAAGCUUCAUCCUGAUGUGGCCAUCAUCUAUGCCGAUUACUAUGGAGCUGCUAUGGAAAUCUUCCUUUCCCCUGAACAAUUUGGAAUUGAGAAUCCUUUGGUAGCUUGCUGUGGUGGAGGAGGACCUUAUGGUGUAUCUGAAACUGCAAGAUGUGGAAAUGGUGAAUACAAGGUGUGCGAUGACCCACAACUGUAUGGGUCAUGGGAUGGCUUUCAUCCAUCAGAAGCAGUCUAUAAGGCCAUUGCAACUGGCCUGAUAUGGGGUUCAUACACACAACCUCCAAUCGCUACCACCACCAUUUCGUGCCUGCAAAUUACAGAGCUCAGUUCUUCUGUUGAAUACAAGGUCCUCUAUGAUUUGUAAUUGUGUGACUAUAUUUUGUUAUUUUCAUAGAAUGUAUGUGCGGAUAAAAGGUUCAUGUGGAAUCGUCGAAAUAAGCUGGUAUUGUGCUGAAAUCGAGUUAAACUUAUGCCAUCGGGUCUUCUAACGGAUUAGUUCUAUGACUUCCAUCUCAAGUGUGCCACCUCCCACCUCCAUGAAUCAAAGCACUUAAUUUUUUUUCUAUUUUCCUUCAUAAGUUGUGUUUUGUUUAGUUAAAUUUUUUCCAUGUACUGUUCAUCUUGUCUUUAGUUCUUGAUGGCUUAGUCAAAGACUAAUCAUUUAUAUAUCUCAGUAGUUCAUUUGUUUGAUUAUCUAGGUUGAUAUAAUCUAAAUAUAUUCGACCAUGUAUCCAUUAUGUAUUUAA